rnacentral:lncRNA from 1 species
UAAAAAUUCUAAGUUUUUUAUCCAAAUCAGAAAAAAAUAGAUUUUCACAUCUUUCUAGAAACUAAUAUCUUCAAACUUAUUCCCACCGUCCCUAGAGCAAGUGGCAAAGGGUUUGGUGGUUGGUACUCGAGACCCAAGUUCGAAUCCUAGUUGAUUCAUAUUUCCAGCUGUGUUUAUUUUCCAAAUGAAAUAAACGAAGCGGGUAGCGUGCUACCUAUCUCUCAAAAAAAAUAUAUAUAUCUUCAAACUUAUCCAGGAGAAGGAAAUGAUCCAAGUUUCUCAGCUCAGGCCUACAAAUCACAUAAACCCCAUCAAAUUAACACCCAAAAUAGAAAAACCAAAAUGUACAUAUAUAAAAAAGAAUGAAUUUAUAAAAAUGACUUUUUUUCUUUCACAAGAAGUAAUUGAUUCAUCUGAAAGUUUGAUCUUAGUCAUUCAAUGAAUUACAAACUUUUAUGUGAAUUACUUUCCAAUGCUUCUCCUCACGAUGGCGUCUUGUCCAUGAAAAAAAAUUAGCAAAAUAAUAAAAGAAUAAAAUGGUGACUAUGAAAAGAUAAAAACGUAUUGGUAGAGUAAUCAAUUAUGAUUAUAAUUACCAUGAAACGUUAAUGUAGAUUAUCAUUAAUUCAUGAAAUGUUAAUAGAUAUACCGGAGAGGAGAGGGGAGGGGAAGGGUGGGAGAGAUGAAGAGAUGCCUAAUACGGUGAGAAUUAAAGGAGAGAGAAUUAAUACGUUAUUGGAGAUUAAUAAAAUAGGUAUAGAUAUAGAUUAUCUAUCUAUUAACCUAAGAAUGAAGGGUUUCUUGCCACGUGGCAAGAAGCAUUGUGAAUUCAUUAUGUUUAAUAGAUAUUUUCUGAUGAUA